rnacentral:hammerhead_ribozyme from 1 species
GUCCAGCUGAUGAGUCCCAAAUAGGAUGAAACGCGUGUCCUGGAU